rnacentral:rRNA from 1 species
AUUGAACGCUGGCGGCAGGCCUAACACAUGCAAGUCGAACGAGUGGCGGACGGGUGAGUAAUGUCUGGGAAACUGCCCGUCGGAGGGGGAUAACUACUGGAAACGGUAGCUAAUACCGCAUACCAUCGGAUGUGGCCAGAUGGGAUUAGCUUGUAGGUGAGGUAACGGCGCACCUAGGCGACGAUCCCUCGCUGGUCUGAGCGGAUGACCGGCCACACUGGAACAUAUGCACGGGCGAGACGCCUAAGAGAGGCAGGGGUGGUGAAUGUGGGAGAGUGGGUGCAAGCGUGAUGCGGCGGUGGCGGGGGUAGGGAGAAGGCCUUCGGGUUGUAAAGUCCUUUAAGCGUGGAGGCGUUACCCGCAGAAGAAGCACCGGCUAACUCCGUGCCAGCAGACGCGGUAAUUC